GAUGAAGAACGCAGCGAAAUGCGAUAUGUAGUGUGAAUUGCAGAAUUCAGUGAAUCAUCGAAUCUUUGAACGCACAUUGCACCUCUCGGUAUUCCGGGAGGUAUGCCUGUUCGAGCGUCAUUUGUACCCUCAAGCUCUGCUUGGUGUUGGGUGUUUGUUCCGCCUCUGUGUGUGAACUCGCCUCAAAACAAUUGGCAGCCGGCGUACUUGUUUCGGAGCGCAGCACAUUUUGCGAUCCAGAUCAACGUACAGCGGCAUCCAAGAAGCCUUAUUUAACGCUCUUGACCUCGGAUCAGGUAGGGAUACCCGCUGAACUUAAGCAUAUCAAUAAGCGGAGGA
rnacentral:misc_RNA from 1 species